CCUACGGGAGGCAGCAGUGAGGAAUAUUGGUCAAUGGACGAGAGUCUGAACCAGCCAAGUAGCGUGAAGGAUGACGGCCCUAUGAGUUGUAAACUUCUUUUAUACAGGAAUAAAACGAGGCACGUGUGCCUUUUUGCAAGUAUUGUAUGAAUAAGGAUCGGCUAACUCCGUGCCAGUAGCCGCGGUAAUACGGAGGAUCCGAGCGUUAUCCGGAUUUAUUGGGUUUAAAGGGUGCGUAGGUGGGUGGUUAAGUCAGAUGUGAAAGUUGGAGGCUCAACUGUGAAAUUGCAACUGAUACUGGCAGGCUAGAGAAUAGUUGCGGUAGGCGGAAUGCGUGGUGUAGCGGUGAAAUGCUUAGAGAUCACGAAGAACCCCGAUUGCGAAGGCAGCUUACUAAGCUAUGACUGACGUUGAGGCUCGAAAGCGUGGGUAGCAAACAGGAUUAGAUACCCGAGUAGUC
rnacentral:rRNA from 1 species